UGUACAGGAGAGUUCUGAGGGAGGCUGUAAUCAGCUGUACAGGAGAGUUCUGAGGGAGGCUGUAAUCAGCUGUACAGGAGAGUUCUGAGGGAGGUUGUAAUCAGCUGUACAGGAGAGUUCUGAGGGAGGCUGUAAUCAGCUGUACAGGAGAGUUCUGAGGGAGGUUGUAAUCAGCUGUACAGGAGAGUUCUGAGGGAGGCUGUAAUCAGCUGUACAGGAGAGUUCUGAGGGAGGUUGUAAUCAGCUGUACAGGAGAGUUCUGAGGGAGGCUGUAAUCAGCUGUACAGGAGAGUUCUGAGGGAGGCUGUAAUCAGCUGUACAGGAGAGUUCUGAGGGAGGCUGUAGUCAGCUGUACAGGAGAGUUCUGAGGGAGGCUGUAAUCAGCUGUACAGGAGAGUUCUGAGGGAGGCUGUAAUCAGCUGUACAGGAGAGUUCUGAGGGAGGCUGUAAUAGGCUGUACAGGAGAGUUCUGAGGGAGGCUGUAAUCAGCUGUACAGGAGAGUUCUGAGGGAGGUUGUAAUCAGCUGUACAGGAGAGUUCUGAGGGAGGUUGUAAUCAGCUGUACAGGAGAGUUCUGAGGGAGGUUGUAAUCAGCUGUACAGGAGAGUUCUGAGGGAGGUUGUAAUCAGCUGUACAGGAGAGUUCUGAGGGAGGUUGUAAUCAGCUGUACAGGAGAGUUCUGAGGGAGGUUGUAAUCAGCUGUACAGGAGAGUUCUGAGGGAGGUUGUAAUCAGCUGUACAGGAGAGUUCUGAGGGAGGUUGUAAUCAGCUGUACAGGAGAGUUCUGAGGGAGGUUGUAAUCAGCUGUACAGGAGAGCAAUGCUGUGCUGCCUGCUUCUAGUAGUGUUAUAAUCCCAAUAUAACAGUGUACAGUCUGACUCAGCAGAAAAACCUAGUUCUCAGUCCCGUCCAGAUCUGCCUAAUGUUUCUGUUAAUUGUUAGGUGUCAAACACUGGCUAACAAAAGCACAGUUUGUAAUCACUAAGUGGACUCCAAAAACUAAUUGUGCCUGCUUAGAUCUAUUCCAUGUUGUUGUACUGAACCCAUUAGAAGACUGUCUGACUGACAGCCUGAUGUAUGUCAAGUAUUCAUGAAGAUGGACGAGGCUAGAACCCAUUAGAAGACUGUCUUCGUGAAGAUGGACGAGGCCAGAACCCAUUAGAAGACUGUCUUCGUGAAGAUGGACGAGGCUAGAACCCAUUAGAAGACUGUCUUCGUGAAGAUGGACGAGGCUAGAACCCAUUAGAAGACUGUCUUCAUGGACGAGGCUAGAACCCAUUAGAAGACUGUCUUCAUGGACGAG